AGUAUUAAAACUCUAAAUCCUAUUUUACAAGAAAUAUGAAUUUUCAUAAUUAAGAAUUUAAUCACAAUGACCUCUAAAUCUGGUUUUCCUUGGCUGCAGUAAUGACCUUACUUGAUAAAGCUUCCAUAGCAUUUAUAUACUCACUUUUCCGACUUCAAAACCUAAUAAAGGCACUUUCAUGUUUCUUGUCAACAUAUCAGAAUCUCAAUACUAUGUCUUAUCCUUCAAGACUAUGACAUUGUUUCUCUUGCAUCAUGACUAAGUACUAACAGAAUAAGUAAUUCUCCAUCUCUCCAUGCGUGCAAAGCAGUUUCCCUGAAUUUUAAAGGAUUCAAUCCUACAACGUACCACUGCUCAAGUUAUGAGACCACUAACUGAAAUCUCCAUACAAACUUCUGUACUUGCACACAUACAAUUAUGCAUCUCAUACAAGAACCAUAAAACAAAUUGCAGUAUGCCUGAUGUUUCUGAUUACAACUUGCAAGAACACGUGGCCUCACCUACAUCUACCAUCAAGGUCAUCACACCACUAAUAACUCCAAAACAUAAUCAUUUCUUUUGUUUCCAACAACUAAACAUGAAAAUUCAAUCUUUAACAACCUCUUUCAUUUAACCAAACCUGCCAACGAAAACAAAUUCUGAUUCACAAUUCACAGGAGCCUAUUUGCCGAAUAAAAGAGGCCAUAUUCCAUAAAAAAUCUGUCUAAACACUUCAAAUCUUUAGGCGUAUAUGCAGAAAGGAUCGAAAAUCGAAGAAAACUAAAGAAUCCACGAAGUCAUCAUUUUAAAUCCACAAUAUUUCCCCACAAAUCUUGAAUCUUACCCUAAGAAUGUUAAUCCACAACAAGAUAACACUAAUUCACAAAAAUCAGUACAUUCCAAUCCAUCAAAUCUAUAUGAAAAUAUACACCAUGUAUCCAUGAAUACAAUUAGAUGGACCAUGAGAAAGUAAGAGAUGGAUGGAUCUGAAAAUAGGACCUUGAAUUAAGGAUAUGAGUGAUA
rnacentral:misc_RNA from 1 species